UACGUAGGGUGCAAGCGUUGUCCGGAAUUAUUGGGCGUAAAGAGCUCGUAGGCGGUCUGUCGCGUCGGCUGUGAAAACCUGCAGCUUAACUGUGGGCUUGCGGUCGAUACGGGCAUCACUGGAGUUCGGCAGGGGAGACUGGAAUUCCUGGUGUAGCGGUGAAAUGCGCAGAUAUCAGGAGGAACACCGAUGGCGAAGGCGGGUCUCUGGGCCGAUACUGACGCUGAGGAGCGAAAGCGUGGGGAGCGAACAGG
rnacentral:rRNA from 1 species